CGUCGUCUCGUUGGACACACCGCCCCCAAUCCACAGCCACGCACUCCUCCCUCCUCCCUCUCAAAGCCGCCACACCCAUUCCUCCCUUCCGCCUCCCUCCCCGGAUCCCUACCACCGUCACACGGCCCACACCCACUCGUCUCCUCCUCUCGCUCUUUAGCUUCCUCCUCCUUCCUGAUCUCCGCGUCGGCCGCGGCGCGAGAGGAGCGGUGGUGGCGGCAUCGAGUUGCGAACCCCGGGACCAGGUCUGGGGGUUUGGUUCCAAGGCGCCGACGGCUUCUCCGUCUAUGACGCCGGGGGUGAGUACACACCCCAGUCCCCUCCUCCUGCGCGAACCCUACGAGAGAGAGAGAGAGAGGAAGAUGAGAGGUAGGGAGAGAGAAUGACCGGCGUCGGCCUGCACCGGCGAGGAUGGGCGCGACCUGGAGGUUAGCCGCUGCUCGAUUCGCUCCUGGAUCGGGAACUGCGUCGAAGCUGGGGUUCGGGCGCGUUGCAUGGGAGGCUGCACUCCGCCUCUUCCUCGUGGUGCGGCGGACGGCGGCUCUUACGGUCGUGCGGCCGAUGGCAGCCUCAGCGGGUGGUCGACGACACUUGCAGCUGGUGCUCUACCCAUGGAUUCCGGCACAGCUCGAAAUGCUCAGGACAAAUUAGGCCUCGGCCAAUGGUGGAGAAGACAGAGUACAGGGACAAGCCGCUGGAGCACGUGUUCAUGGGAUGUUCGUGCGCAAGAUGCAGAAGUUCGCCGGAAGGAAGAAGAGCGGGCCGGGGAGGAUGAGGAGAAGGCGGGAUGCGAGGUGCUUGCACGCGCAGCAGCAGGAGGUCGUCUGUGAGGUGCUCCUCUGGAUGCUCCCUUCCGGCGCUGGGCCUAGGUGUUCAACGCCGCCCUCACCAUCCCCUUCUUCCAUUGGCUCAUCGGCCCGUCAGAGGUUAUUGAGGUGGAGGUCAACGGUGUGAGGCGGAGAAGUGGAGUUCUCAUAAAGAAACACAUGUGUGGCUGCAGGUAAAGUUGUCAAGUUGAUCUGGUGCUUGCUUGAGCCGUUGAUUACUGCUGCUUUGCUAAGGUUCAACGUCUUACUACAUGAGAAGUUUAUUCCAAUGCUUUCUCAAUCCCUUUACCAUGAUGACUACCAGAGGAACCUUCAAUGUGUAUAGAUGGUGAUGGAUAUGGGGACACACAAGAACUAGCGAACUUAAUACCAGAUGCCCUCAACUAUGAAUUCUUUAAUUAUUGGAGGCUUUCAUAUUCAUAUCAAUACAAGUAUUUAGUUUGCAGUGUGAUGUUCCGUGAUUCCGGAUUGGGCGCACCUCGUUGUCGUGGAGAGCAUGAGUGGCUGGGUCUUCAUGGUGGGGUGGUCUGCAGGGGAGGGAAGGUUGCUGACGACAGGGGGAAGGAGGAGGCCGACGAGGAGGGUAAACAACAGGGUUAAGGGGCACAGCGAGCCCAGCAGGGGGAAAAAGCAGGGCGAGCGACGCCAGUGGGAGGAAGGAGCAGGGCGAGGCCUCGCGCAUCUGCAUGGUCAGUGGAGAUGAGGUUCUUUUGGAUUAAUGCUUCUGCCUGAUGAGUUCCUCCCCUUUUAUGUCGCAGGCUGUAAGAUCUCUGCAUGUUGCUGCUUGCUUGUUCUGCCAGUGGUUUUGCUCACUUCCUUUUCUAUUUAGCUACUGCAUUCUUUUCUUUACUAUGUGUUGUCAUGGAUAUUAGUUUGGAUUGUGUUUAUAUUCAGGAUUUGGCACAGAGUUUUGUUCUAUUUUGGCUCAUGCUUGCCGCUUGUGUGAUUGAACAUAUGGUGUUUUGUCUACUUAACCAUUUGUGUGUAGUAGUAUUCAUUUUAUCCUUGAUCAUGUGUGUAUGUACUACUGAAGUAGUUUUAAUUGAUAUAAAGGUUUUCAUGUAUUGCAGCUAUUUGACUUUGAGCAACCACAAUCUACAAGGAACAUUAGGAGUAAAUUAUAAUUUGCCAUCUCGAAAGCGUUUUGUAUGCAGAAUUGGUUAGCAUUAUCUCUAGAUACACCGUUUACUAUUAAGUAGAUAAUUUACAUGUUGUCGUGGACUAAAGGUGGUGAUGUAUACUUAUAUGCCCAUUCACAACUACUAUUAUUUAACAUGUUUCCCUUUGGGCAUCUACAAUGCUAGGAGCUUACAUAGGCGCUUAUGAAGAAAAUAAUAAAAUCUGAAGAACACCUAAGCGCCUCAUCCCUCAAUGCUAGACGCUAAUUAACUAAACAACGUAGAUGCUAAGUGCUGGAAGAAAAAUGGCCAAGCGCCGGGUGCGCGAUUUGGCGUCGACGCCAGGGUUGACACCAGGAUUACAGCCGGCAACCGCUAAUCCGCUGGGAUUACGAACCUGGCGUCGGGGCUAAGCGCCCAGCGAUGGAGAUGCCCUUAUAUCAUUGUGAAGUUGAAAUCUUUUUUUUCCUGGUCUUCUAGGUUCACAUAGUCCUCAAGGGUAUCCUUCUAUGUUGAGAUUCUAAAAAUAUUUCGAGUUAUUUCAUUUUGACUACUUCAUGCUUGAACUUGGAAUUGUUGGCUAAGCAGUCCUUGAAAUUUGAAGGGAGCGUGUGUAAGUCUGUAGUAAUUGGCAGUGCAAACAUGAUCAGCCUAUUGAUGAUGUAGUACUUAAUAUGAUGAUUAUCUGGUUUACUUGUUGUAUUUUAUUGCGCAUAGUAGACCACCAUGCAUCACCAGGCAGGUAAAAAUGUUACAUCAGGGGGCUUUCAUGAGCUAAUUGCACAAUUCUUUAAGCUAUGCUCUGAACGUUAGUGGCCUUAUUUAAGCUUUGUAGGUUGCAGUGUAAUGUGAAGAUUCCAAGGGAUAUCAAGCUUUAAAUUGGGAUCAUUUGCAAAGCGGAAAUAUAGAGAUCGACAUCUGAUGGGAAGGAACAUGUCGAAUAUAACAGCCAAACAAGGAAGGGACAUGAGGCUGUAAUAUCAUUUUCGUUCUCAUUUCUUGUAGGAAGUCACAAAUAGGAGUGAUGGUGGAAAUAUAACUGCCACUUUGUACCUUUAUGUUUUUCUGAAAGAACUUUGAGCUACCGUUAGUUUCUUUUCCUGGUUCGUAAUCGGUAUAUACAGUUACCACACAAUCAUGAUCACCAAUGUUCACAACUGUCUGAAUCGUGUGAUUCAAAGCAGAACCCAUAUGAUUGCCACCCAUGCA